rnacentral:rRNA from 1 species
CCUACGGGUGGCAGCAGUGGGGAAUAUUGCACAAUGGGCGAAACCCUGAUGCAGCGAAGCCGCGUGAGUGAAGACGUCUUUCGGUAUGUAAAGCUCUAUCAACAGGGGAGAAAAUCACGGUACCUGACUAAGACGCCACGGCUAACUACGUGCAAGCAGCCGCAGUAAUACGUAGGGGGCCAGCGUUAUCCGGAUUUACUGGGUUGAAAGGGAGCGUAGACGGCCAGACAAGUCAGAAGUGAAAGCCCAGGGCUCAACCCUGGGACUGCGUUUGAAACUGGCGGGCUGGAGUGCAGGAGAGGUAAGCGGAAUUCGUAGUGUAGCGGUGAAAUGCGUAGAUAUUAGGAGGAACACCAGUGGCGAAGGCGGCUUACUGGACUGUAACUGACGUUGAUGCUCGAAAGCGUGGGGAUCAAACAGGAUUAGAUACCCGAGUAGUC